rnacentral:rRNA from 1 species
AGAGUUUGAUCAUGGCUCAGAAUCAACGCUGGCGGCGUGCCUCAGACAUGCAAGUCGAACGCGAAAGUCCCCUUCGGGGGACAAGUAGAGUGGCGCACGGGUGAGUAACACGUAGGUAAUCUACCUUUGGAUUGGGAAUAACCACCGGAAACGGUGGCUAAUACCGAAUAAUGCAGCGGCACCUAAUGGUGACAGUUGUUAAAGCGGGGGAUCGCAAGACCUCGCGUCUGAAGAGGAGCCUGCGGCAGAUUAGCUAGUUGGUAAGGUAACGGCUUACCAAGGCGAUGAUCUGUAGCCGGCCUGAGAGGGCGGUCGGCCACACUGACACUGACAUACGGGUCAGACUCCUACGGGAGGCAGCAGUCGGGAAUUUUGGGCAAUGGGCGAAAGCCUGA